rnacentral:sRNA from 1 species
CAGUACUGGACGCGGUGCUUGGGGAUA